AUUGUGUUAUUCAAGAUACAAUGGCACUCGAUGAUGCUUGCUAAGAAGGUUUGCAGUAUCCACUGGACUGUUGCUUGCCAGAUGACUGGAAGAUGGGUACUUCAUCCUCUCUUGUUUGUUCAUUUGAAGCGAGAUAAAUAAGAUUCAUGCAUUGUAAUGAAAACUAAAGAUUUAGCUAAACUCAACUGAUGGUGUAAUAUCUCUUCCUAUGAGCUGCAGUAAUGGUAUCUUCUGUAGGAGUAAUAAGGCAUUGCUGCAUAAACAUACUUGACUUUCAAAUGAGCGUGUCAAGAGGUUUAAUUAGUGUCGAUCCCUACUCUAAUUAUAUCUGGAUAUAUGGUUCCUGUACUAUUUGAAACUUAUCAAUCAGAUGUACAGAAUAACAGAAAUUUGCUAGAUAAGCUAACGUUACAAGGGGAAGUAAAAAUUAAACAUUUCAUAUAGUGAUUUGUAAUAUCUGAUAUGUCAUCAUCGUGUGUUUCCUAUUGUAGAUAAAAUUUGGACCAUGGCUCGGUAUGAUCAAUUGGAGAAGACAUUACUAUGACUACAAAGAUCUGUUUUUUCAGGUGAUGAAUUGUAACCUUAUAUUCUUUAUUACUUGGAAUUGAAAAUCACUGGAAGCAAUCUGUAAUUACUUCGGAGAGAAUAUUUUACUCUUUUCUAUCUUGCUCUUGUUCAGCAUAGGAUGUACUCCGUAUAUCAUUAUCACUAUCAUGGUG
rnacentral:lncRNA from 1 species